UGAAUUGAAUUCAGUACUCUUAAUGGGCC
rnacentral:sRNA from 1 species